CUACGGAGGGUGCAAGCGUUAUCCGGAAUCAUUGGGUUUAAAGGGUCCGCAGGCGGAUUAAUAAGUCAGUGGUGAAAUCCUCUCGCUCAACGAGAGAACUGCCAUUGAAACUGUUAGUCUUGAAUUCGGUCGAAGUAGGCGGAAUGUGUCAUGUAGCGGUGAAAUGCAUAGAUAUGACACAGAACACCGAUAGCGAAGGCAGCUUACUAGACCUGGAUUGACGCUCAUGGACGAAAGCGUGGGGAGCGAACAGGAUUAGAAACCCCGGUAGUCC
rnacentral:rRNA from 1 species